rnacentral:lncRNA from 1 species
GAGACGGGGGGGUGACGUUGCGCCACGUGGGCAUGAGGAGGGCAUCAUGAUGAGGGAUUUGCUUUUGGGAAAGAAAGAUGCUAAAAGGAGCAGUGGAGGUGAGGUCGCAGUGUUGGGUCCGUUUGGGUCGCUAGAAAACACAGAAGUUGAGGCCAGUGUUUCACGUUAUUUGUUAAGGAUCAGGCCGUCUCAGGAUUUCAGGGGUGAUGAUGGAAAUGGGGGCAUAUUCUGGAAAAUGGUCUUUGGUUCAAGUUGAGCUCCAUCCAGCCUUCUAAUAGGUUAAUACUUUUCUGUCUUUUUAGUUGUUUUUAUCAGUGGGCCAAUCUUUGUAGUUAGAGGUGGAAAUCAAAUCAUGAUAAAUGCUAUGUGUUAAAUAUCUAAGCUUCGUAUCAAAUGGUUACAAG